GGUGCAGUGGCCAAGUGGGAAGGCUUUGGUCUUGUAAACUAAAGGUUGUGGGUUUGAUUCCCACUUGUACCU